UACGUAGGGACCAAGCGUUGUUCGGAUUUACUGGGCGUAAAGGGCGCGUAGGCGGCAAUUCAAGUCAUCUGUGAAAUCUCCGGGCUUAACUCGGAAUGGUCAGGUGAUACUGCUUUGCUAGAGUGCAGAAGGGGCAAUCGGAAUUCUUGGUGUAGCGGUGAAAUGCGUAGAUAUCGAAGAGGAACACCUGAGGUGAAGACGGGUUGCUGGGCUGACACGUGACGCUGAGGCGCGAAAGCUAGGGGAGCAAACGGG
rnacentral:rRNA from 1 species